GUAAGUUCAUCCUCCAAAUCAGCAGUAUUCCAGUACCCAGUGAACACAUGACCUCCAUAUGACGUCAUAGAUAGGUCACAUAGAGAUCAUCGACUUUUUACAUAGAUAUGACAUAAAAAUGACUUUAUUGAUGACUCUGAUAUGAUGUCAUGUAGUAUGACAUCAUUAUGACAUAGUGCUGACCUAAAAUUUGACUUUUAUAUGACGUCAUGAUUGUGACUUAAAUAUUACGUAAAUAUUAUGUCUUAUCCCUAUCAUAUGUGUGACGUCACAUCAAAGUCAUAAAUUUAUAUAUUAUUUACGUAAGAAAUAAAUCAUACAAUUACAUAAA